CCUACGGGAGGCAGCAGUGAGGGAUAUUGGUCAAUGGGGGAAACCCUGAACCAGCAACGCCGCGUGAGGGAAGACGGUUUUCGGAUUGUAAACCUCUGUCCUCUGUGAAGAUAAUGACGGUAGCAGAGGAAGAAGCUCCGGCUAACUACGUGCCAGCAGCCGCGGUAAUACGUAGGGAGCAAGCGUUGUCCGGAUUUACUGGGUGUAAAGGGUGCGUAGGCGGCCCUGCAAGUCAGAAGUGAAAUCCAUGGGCUUAACCCGUGGACUGCUUUGGAAACUGUAGGGCUUGAGUGAAGUAGAGGCAGGCGGAAUUCCUGGUGUAGCGGUGAAAUGCGUAGAGAUCGGGAGGAACACCAGUGGCGAAGGCGGCCUACUGGACUUUAACUGACGCUGAGGCACGAAAGCGUGGGUAGCAAACAGGAUUAGAUACCCGAGUAGUC
rnacentral:rRNA from 1 species